ensembl:snoRNA
AUGGAGGUGAUGACAAGUUUAAUCUUGAUUGUCCGUGAUGUUCAAGUAUUCAUACUGUCUGAUCCAC